UUUAGGCCGUGUUUGAUAGGGUAGUUUAGGCCAGAUUACUUAUUAGGUAAUAUGGGUUAAUUUGCUGUUUGAUAGCUUAGAAAAAUAAACUUUGAGGCCCGAAAAAAGGGCAAGGCCCGCUGAUAAUUCACUGUUCAACCUCGUUUGUAUAUCCUCCACCGAGGGCCAGUCACAGUUUCUUGAAUGCUACAGUCUAUGGGGCAUAGCGAUUGGAGUAUGGCUGGGCCGGCAUGACUAUGGCGGUGACGGUGCAAUUGGCGGCGCGAUUACCAAGUAUUGGUGGUUGGUGCAAUUGGGUGAGAUAAAGUAGCUAAAUUCGGGAAUUAUUUCUGCAAUUUUUCUAUGCAAUUGGGGCAUGAAGGUCAUGGGUUUUUAGGUGUGAUGUUAUGGUUUUUUGUUCUGGGAUCAAAAAAUAAGAAAAUAUAGUGUUAUGUUAUGAUUUUCUUGAUUUUUUUGGUGAAUGACAAGUGGUUUUCUAGAAAAUUAGAGACGAUGAUUUUGCCUUU